CACUAAUCACCCUGUCAAGCUUCAAUCGGAAUCAGUUGAAUUGGGAGGCUGAGUGCUGAGUGCUCAUGGCUUCCAUUUUACAAGAGAGAAAGUGGAGGAGACCAGCCCCAUGUCAAGUGUCUGAAGGAAAAGACUCUGGGACUAUAUGAGACAGAAAGAAACCAACCAAUAGGAAUAAAGUAUAGCCGGACAAAGAUGGUAACAACAGCAACAGCAGCAGCUGAUGGAACUUUCACUGUCUCCUUACAUCCAGAGAAACAAGACGUGAUGAAUAGAAUGAACAGAGAGGCGCUUUGAUGAGGCAGUGGAUAGAUUGCCGGGCCUAAAGACGGGAAGACUCAUCUUGUGACUUCGGCCAAAUCACUUCGCUCUGUUGGUCUGUUUGCUCACCUGUAAAAUGAAAUGGAGAAGGAAAUGGCAAACCACUGUCUGCCAUGAAAAUCCCAAAUUGGGUCACGAAGAGUUCAGCACAAGCAAAAUGACUGAACAAUAACAACUAUAUACCAGGCACGGGGUUAAGUGCUGGGGAUGCAAAGAAAGAUAAAAGACAGUCCCUGUUCUCACGGAGCUCACAAUCUGAUGGGGGAGACAAGAAAAGCACUAAACCUUUUGUCUUCUCUAUUGAAAUCUACUCUCUGUGGGCAGCCUACCUUGUUAAAAUUGUAAUAUUCCACAAUAGUAAACAGAUAUAUUUAUCAAAAUACUCUGGCUGGCAAAUGGUGGG
rnacentral:lncRNA from 1 species